rnacentral:rRNA from 1 species
ACGGAACAACAGUUGGAACGACUGCUAAUACCGUAUACGCCCUUCGGGGGAAAGAUUUAUCGGAGCUGGAUGAGCCCGCGUUGGAUUAGCUAGUUGGUGGGGUAAAGGCCUACCAAGGCGACGAUCCAUAGCUGGUCUGAGAGGAUGAUCAGCCACACUGGGACUGAGACACGGCCCAUACUCCUACGGGGAGGCAGCAGUGGGGAAUAUUGGACAAUGGGCGCAAGCCUGAUCCA